rnacentral:rRNA from 1 species
GUGCCGACCAUCCCCGUCUUCCCUGGCGCCCCCACAAAGGACCCCCGCGACCCCCAGGCAAACCCUAACGCCCAUUCCCUCUCGUUCCCCUCUCUGCCUCUCGAUUUUGUCCGCCCCCGAGAACAUGGUCGUCGCCGCUUCGUUGUUGCCGCGGACACCGGACUCCCCUUGCCGUGCUAGCCUGCCUAGAACAACCGCCACAUCGCGCUGGUCCUCUCCACCCCUUGGGUUCGUUGCCUCGCUGCCCAACUCGUCGCCAUCGCCGGUCUUCUCUGCCACAGUCACCGUCGUUCGUCGCCAGAUGCCGCCGCUCCGGUCCACUUCCGGCCUCCCUGGCCAUGCCCCCGAGUUCGCAACUUCGAGACCGCCGUUGUUACCCGCGUGAUCGACUACAUCGACAGCGACCCCUCCUUGCCAGAGCAAUCAGACGAUGGAGUCCAGGAGCCAGACGCCACUGUCGAUGACGACUGCUAGUACUCGGGAGGUGCCUACUACUAUGUGCAGGCCGCUGACGACGACCAGGAGUAGUUUAGGAGGAUCCCAGGCAGGAGGCCUGCGCCUCUUUCGAUUUGCAUCCCAGUUUGUGCUAGCCUUCUUAAGGCAAACUUGUUUAACUUAUGUCUGUACUCAGAUAUUGUUGCUUCCGUUGACUCGUCUAUGAUCGAGCUCUUGUAUUCGAGCCCUCGAGGCCCAUGGCUUGUAAUAUGAUUCUUGUAUGACUUAUUUUAUUU